UCCACAUCUUAUAAUCAUGAUUUCAAACAUUUAGUUUGUGUGCCUGAAAACAAUCUUAAAAUGAGUCUUCUAAUUUCCAGUGGUUUCUAUUUCUAUUUUGUGUCAGAGUUUAAUUUCAAAUGUUUCCAAGCAACCACAUAAAAAGAAUGCUACUUGUUUAUUUAAUCAUUUGAAGACGGUUGAGAUAAGGAACUUCAUUGGCUGAGUGGUUGAGCUAGAAUUGGUCAAGUUUUUGCUUUAUAGUGGGAAGGUAUUGGAGAUGAUGGAUAUCAUUUAUUAAGAAUAUGAAGAAAAAGAUGAAGAGUAUUGAAAAAGUAUUGGCAUAUCCUAAAGCAUCUCUAUAUGUUGUUAUAUCAUCUCUACUUGUUGUUACUAAAGUUGCAUCUAUUAGAUUUUUGAUUGCUAUAACUGCUAUUCAUAAUUUAUUGAUACAUCGAAUGAAUGUAAAGACGGCAUUUUUACAUGGAGAUUUAGAAAAAGAAAUCUACAUGGACCAACCAGAUGGUUUUACAUGCUUGGUAAUGAACACAAGGUAUGUAAAUAAUUAAAAUCUUUAUAUAGAUUAAAAUAAGCACCUAGACAAUGGCUUGAGAAAUUUGAUCAAUGUUUACUUUCUAACGGUUUUGAAACAAAUAAAAGUGACAAGUGUAUACACUUGUCACUGAUUGUACUAUUGUGCAAUAUGCUAGUAUUAUUGAUAGUCUUAUAUAUGCUACUUAUUGUACCAGAUCCAAUAUUGCAUAUGCCGUAGGAGUUCUAGCAAGAUUUACUAGCAAACCUAAUUUUGAGAACUGCACACGGGCCCGUUUGUUACCGUUGUUUAAACAACAGUUUUCAAUGUUUAAACAACACUAGUCAUUAACCAGUGCGAUGCACUGGAAAAUUACCGAAAAUGAAAUAUAAUGAAUGCAAUGCAAUUAUGCAAAAUACCAUUUAAAUUAAAUGGCAAAUAUUAGUUAAUGUUGUUAUCGUUAGCUGUUUGUGUUAUGUUUAGAGUUUCAUAUCUAAGUUACUACAAUAUUACUUGUAGCAACUGAAACUCACAAUAUCUAUAUAUAUAUAAUAGCAGAAGCUGAGAGAAAGUUGAUUUCUACAAUUAAGGAGGUGGUGACAAAUAGGAUAAAUUCAGACACGUAUAACUUAAAAAAGCGAUAUAUUAUAUUGUUUGGUAACGUUCCAACACCGUUUAAGCAAUAAAUGAUAAUGUUUCACCAUGUUAAAACACUGUUUGGAGUCCUCUGGGUUUAAAAUGGAAACUAACCGCUAAAAAAAAAGAAAGAAAGAAAAGAAAAGAAAGAUUGCUACACGGAGAAAGGGGAGAGAGAGAUCGAAAGAAAAGAGAGAUAGAAAUAGAGAGACAGAGAUAGAGAGAAGGGCGCCACCCAGAUCUUCUGCCAUCACCAUUGGUAUUUUGGGUCAGAUUUGGUUUUGAUUAAGGGAUACGAAGAUAGAGGAACCAAGCAGAGUUCGUAGGCGCCAAGAGAGAGAAGAAAUAUUUAAGGCCGACCAUUGUCCGUUCCCUCGCCAGACUUGGGGCACCGGAACCGCAAGCAAGAAAAAGCUAUGGACCAUCAACACUGUUAGGCCAUAUAUCUGCCACCUAGAUCGUCGGAAUCAGAACUGCUAAACCCAACCAAAAGCCCAAUCAAUACACUGUUUUAAAUCCCGAUCAUGACACCCGUACAAGUGAACCAAAAAAAAAAAAAAAAAAACCCAAUAAAAGGGUUUAGGGAGAGAGAGAUAUGUAAUGUUGAAUUAUUAAACAGAGAGACAGGGAGAAAGAGAACGACAAAGAGAUUCGGUCAGGCAUAGAGAGUGGAAAGAGAAAAUCUAAGAAGACAGUCAGCCUCUGCCACCAUCAGAUCCCGUAUCCUCCACCGGUUAGUCUCUGUUUUUUGGUUCUUUAAAUUUGGGUUUAAAUAUGAUUUAGGUCUGGGUAUUUGGAUUGGGUUGGAUUGUAUUGGACUGCAUUCAAGUUUUGGUUUACAUUCAGUUUUGAGUAAGGAAUUUGGGUUAGAAUGGUUUUUAAUAUUAGUUAUCUGUGUUAGAUUUGGUUUUCUUUUGGAUAUUUAGGAUAAAUUCGUUUUGAGUAUAUGUUUUCGCUCUAAAUAGAAAUCUCUGGAGAUCUUCAUGAAUUAAUUUAAUGUUGAAGAACAUAGAUUUAUAUGUUGCCAAAAAAUAAAGCUCUGUCAUUUCAUUUAUGCUUUUAUUAAUUUUUUGUUGAAAUAUUUUCCCCUCUUUAUAUUUUUGCUUCCCAUGUUUCUUUUCAACCAUUGUUGUCAAGGUUUUUGCAGUAUAUAUUUAAAGUUUUCGUUUGCAAUUGCUCUGAUUUGAAAAAAUAAAACCCUAGAACACAAAGAAUAAGAAGGUAUUGAACAUUAAAACGCCUUUCUUCCACCACUAAUGCCAAUCUGCUUCAAGCAUUAUAUCUUUUUGUUUCAGAUCCAAAAUUAGAUCGUACCAUUCAUCCUUCCUGGCUAUGCUCAAGUUCAUUUUGGAAGGAGAGUUGCUGGGAAACAGGGACAACAGCAGCAUUGACACGAAGGAAUUCUUUUUUCUAUUUUUGGUAAAUCUUGGUCUUAGUUGAAGCUUCAAAGUCUGAGAAAGGCAGUUGGAUUGGUGUAUUAUUUCAAUGUAGGAAUCAAAGAGAUUGCAAUAUUUUCAGGGGCUGUUAGAGUUGGAAAGUGCAGAGGAAGACUACUGCUAUGUUGUGAUCUUUGAGGGUUCUCUCUAUUAGGCUUUCAAACAUGAAAAUGAAUGGUAUUAUAGUUAUGACAACUAGAAAAGUUAAGGAAGUAUUCAAUCUGACUCAGGAGCAUACUAGAGUGAGAUGACAAGACAAAAGGGUGCUGAACAACCUUGAGAAAACAUAUCAAUAAGAGUGGUGGAUUGGGUUCCAAUAACUUUCUUUUUGGGGACUUGAAUUUGAAGCAAAGAAAUAGAAAGAAAAUGUGUAAUGCAACUGUUAAAGAGAAAAGGUUAAAUAUGGAUGAUAGAAAAGGUUUAAGCAAAUGUGAAGAUGAGAGACAUACUUAGGUUUAUGGUGGCUGAUUGUUUCAACAAUUACAUGUUGGUGCACACGUGUAUUAAAGACAAUUGACUUAUGUGGGUGAGGUGUAACCAAUGUAUGUUACAAAGGCGAUUGCAGUUUCGAAAUUGAAGAGAGAAACAAAUUAGAGAAAAAGAUGUAAUUCUGGAUCCAAGUCUAUCCAAGUUGCGUGGGCAAAUAUAUCUGAUGUAUAGAUAUAGUUGCAUUCCUAGCUUAUUGUAGAGAAGAUUGAUACAAUUUAUAUUUACUAUGAUUGAUUGCACCAGUUUCAUUUAAUAUCUAUUGAUUGUAAUUAUUAGGAAACAUUGUCCAAGGCAUUAUGUGUAAUUAUUCUCAACUGAAAAUCCCUACCAAAAAAGCAUGUAGUAGUAUUGCUAUUUAUUCAGUCAGUACUCAAUCAUGUUAUGAUUUCAGAAUCAUAAUUGGAUUGGUCCAAGAAAGAAUCAUCAUUCAAUUGUGUUUU